rnacentral:tRNA from 1 species
GGGCCGGUCGUCUAGUCUGGUAGGAUACCACCCUUACGAGGUGGUGGUCGUCGGUUCAAAUCCGACCCGGCCCA